GAUCACUUUGCUCUUUCUGGUGGCAGCGUUGGCGUGUCAGAGAAUAAUUGGGGGUUCUCCGACGUAUAAGAGAUCUCUGGGUCGUCUGCAUCUGCAUUCUAUUCUCUAAAAGCUCUCUGCCGAUGUCCUCUUCUCUCUAUUUGAGGUUGCUGGUAAUAGUGAAGCAGUUUUGACAAUACUGGAGGUUGAAGGUAGUUUCCAUCAAGAGGACUAAAAGAAGAAGAUAUAGUAUUAAUGGUGUGCUGACAGUGAAACACAUCCUCCCAGAUCAAUAGACUUCAGGAUCAGCAACAGAACAAGAUCCAAUCAUAGAAAGAAAAAGAGGAAUGGAUGCAGUUGCAAAAGCACUAUACCAUCUGCCUCAGGAUCAAAUAAGAAUUUGGAAACGUAAAACUAUUUUUUUUACAUAUAUCCGCAGACUACUUAACUAAAAAUUUAACAUGUCAUCUUUUCAUAACUAAGAGUUGUAUUUCAUUUGAUUCAACAUGAUAGGGAACUGAGUGGAGCAACAUCAUCAACAACAUUUUGUAUGAUCAACUAGGAAUGGCUUCGUUUUAAAUGUAAUAUAUGUGUUUAAUGUAACUUAAUAUAAUUUAUUCCCUCCAUUGAUCUCCCAUACAUGUCUGAAUCUUACCCUUUAAUUACCAGCAUACACAAACCGCAUCUUACACUUUAAUUACCAGCAUACACAAACCGCAGCAACGCGGGGCGUCUAAUCUAGUCUUAUUAUAUAAGUAGAGAGUGACAUACUCGCAUUUUUCUUUCCUCCUCAUCUUCCUGUCCGAAAAGAGCAAGGGGAAGUUGAUAGAUAUCUCUGCAAGAUGAUUUCUUU